GGGGGGACGGGGAGAAGUGGGGGCAUCAAUCCUUCACAUCAUUUCACCACAUAACUUCGAUCUGGUUGUUUGACCAGGUGUGAUUUGAGGACUACAUGAAGGCUUGCCCAAUGACUAAGACUUGCUGGAUGAUGUGCUUAACAACAUGUCUCUAGGGAAUUGAUCCCAUGUUACCAAUGUCCCCUGAGAUUCAAGACUACUAUCAAUACUUGCUUGGGGAUGUGGAACCUCCGCCAGGACCCAUCGUCCUCCCACAUGAUGUCACUCCCAGUGCAUUAUCAAAGAUCAUUUACCAGACACUGGUGAAGAAAGCAUCCUUGCUGGAAGAUACACACCAUGUUCAAAUACUGUACAGUGCUUGGGCGGUUCUUAAUGAUGCCUACACGCCUGUCAAUGCCUCACAUAGAUCAGUGCAGACUGAGAUCACGCUCGGCCCAGCCGGGCCCUGGGCGCCCGUGCGUGAGUCGAUGACACAGACGGCUGAGGUCGUGCCUGAGCGGCCGGCUGUGCGACAUUGGGCGUCGCAGACCGCAGGCCCGGAAAGCCUGAGAGACGCUCCCUCACAGACAACCGCGCAGCGAAGCCCCAAGGAUGCCGCCUCGCAGACGGCCACUCAGCAGACGACGUGCAGCUCAUCGCAGACAGCCAGCCUGAGCAGCGUUCGAGACCGGAGCUCGCAGACAGCCACUCAGCAGACGACGUGCAGCUCAUCGCAGACAGCCAGCCUGAGCAGCGUUCGAGGCCGGAGCUGGCAGACAGCCACUCAGCAGACGACGUGCAGCUCAUCGCAGACAGCCAGCCUGAGCAGCGUUCGAGACCGGAGCUCGCAGACGGCCCUGCCGCGGAGCGUGCAGGACUCAGCCUGCCAGACGGCAACCGUGCGAGACCCACCCGGCCCCGCCUGUCAGACGACCGGCGCGCCCGACUGGCCAGCGGCGGCGGCGGCGGACCGAGCU